GUUGAUUUCUGAACGAAUUGUUAUUCCUUCCAGCAAGCAUCUAAUGUUACUGCCAAACCGUCCACAAGCUGUGCACCCACUACAGAAGUCUCUGCAACUGCUAGCUGGCAUGAUAUCUGGAACAAAAGAUUACCAAUAGGGCUGCAUCAACAUCCAAGGCACGAAGUAUUGGCCUAUCGCUAACAGCUAUAAACAAAGCUGCAGGAUGGUCGAAUUCGAGUACUUUUGGACGUUUUUAUAAUAAGACAAUUCAUGAAAGUAACUUUGGUAGUAGCAUUUUAGCCAAUUUUGAUUGUUAAUAUUGAUUAUUUGUGUGCGUACAAUCGAUCAUUUCUCAGUUCAAGUCUUCUUGAUCAACACAUUGCCAGUCUCUUUGAAGUCUCGUAUAAAUACCGAAAGGAGUUUGGGUUCUAGUUAUGGAAAAUAAUUAAAAAAUUAAACAAACCUUGGUGUAGUUUGAUGUAGAUUAUUUUCCAUACCUAGAACCAAACGACGUGGGAUUUAUACGCCCACCCGACCCAAAUAAUUAUGUAUUUUCCCCUUUUUCUAGUGUUCAUUUUCAGGACUGGCAGGCUCCACUGGUAUGUCUUUGAAUCAGGUCGAACGCCGCGCGUUGCUCGUAUAAAUCCCACGUCGUUUGGUUCUAGGUAUGGAAAAUAAUCUACAUCAAACUACACCAAGGAUAUUGCCAUGGCGCGUUGACCAAAGUAUUGUAAAGGAUAUUCUCAUCCAGCUUCAUCACACGGUAAGCGAUUUUUGAUAUCAAAGAUCUCUUCGUGUUUUACUUUGUUUGUACUCAAAUUUUGCUUCCCGUUUCUUAAGAUAAAUAUGUUGAAUGAAUUCUAAACGAAAUCUCAAGUGUUUCUAAAUGAAAAAGCAGGUUUUCCAGCCAUUAACAUUUCGACAUGCAUGCAAGUUUUAAUGAAUUGUUUCUACGCAUACACUAGCUCUGAAAUCUAAUACCGGUUAUUCCUCUUUUUCAUUUAUGAGACGUACUGGCAUCACAAUUUGAAUCAAAAACAUUUCUUCUUUGGACUUUGUUUAGCUGUAAUCUGAUUGAUUUAGAUGAUCUUUGUGUGUUUAUUGUAACGAUGAAGGGUAAUUCAAAAUGUUGCGUCCCCCUCUCAAAUAGUUUCAACGAUUGAUAGGAGCCCUAUUUCAUAGAUUUUCAUGCCCUACUUCCAAUUGUUUUUUUUACGAGGAUGUUUAUGAAACACACAGUUCCCUCAUUGUUCCCUCAAUAGACGACGGGUGAGAGCUAUUUUAUUUUAUUUUUUAUUCAUGUUGUUCUUAUACUCAUUCGAUUUAGUCCAUGUUCCUGCUUCGGCAUUUCCUUGGAAUUAAUAAAUUGUUUCACCCCUUCAAGGUCUCAUGUACACCUGAUAUUCACAGGAGCUUCCACAUCAUGAUGAUGUCUUUCGAAUGAAGGGGCAGAUCGCUCGAGAGUUUGAGAUACCGCGCGCAACAAGGUUUCGCCUUGUAACACCAGCAGGGCACCCUGUUCGACAGAUAAGGCCCGGCGAUGAAAUCCACAUACGGAUUAUUACGGGAAAAAGAAGGAAAAAAAAAGAAAAUAAGACCGUCAAUUUAAAAUUUAAUUUAUGAAUUUUUACCAAUAAAUUAUUUUAACCUAGCGAACAUUUUGAUGAUUAUUAUGAUGAUGAAGUA